AUGCUUGCUUUGGCAGCACGUAUACCAAAAUUGGAAAAAUACAGAGAUGAUUAGCAUGGCCCCUGUGCAAGGAUGACACGUAAAUUCAUGAAGCAUUCCAUCUAUUU
ensembl:snRNA U6 U6 spliceosomal RNA